rnacentral:rRNA from 1 species
UACGUAGGGGGCAAGCGUUGUCCGGAAUCAUUGGGCGUAAGGCGCGUGUAGGCGGUCCGGUAAGUCCGCUGUGAAAGUCGGGGGCUCAACCCUCGGAUGGCGGUGGAUACUGUCGGGCUUGAGUACGGAAGAGGCGAGUGGAAUUCCUGGUGUAGCGGUGAAAUGCGCAGAUAUCAGGAAGAACACCAGUGGCGAAGGCGGCGAUCUGGGAAGAUACUGACGCUGAGGUGCGAAAGCGUGGGGAGCAAACAGG